UACGAAGGGGGCUAGCGUUGCUCGGAAUGACUGGGCGUAAAGGGCGCGUAGGCGGAUUGCUUUGUCGGGCGUGAAAUUCCAGGGCUUAACCUUGGGGCUGCGUUCGAGACGGGUGAUCUUGAGUUCGGAAGAGGGUCGUGGAAUUCCCAGUGUAGAGGUGAAAUUCGUAGAUAUUGGGAAGAACACCGGUGGCGAAGGCGGCGACCUGGUCCGAGACUGACGCUGAGGAGCGAAAGUGUGGGGAGCGAACAGG
rnacentral:rRNA from 1 species